rnacentral:tRNA from 15 species
UUCGGGGUUCGUCUAAUGGUAGGACAGCAGCCUUUGAAGCUGUUGAUUGGGGUUCGAGUCCCUGACCCCGAAG